UACGGAGGGUGCAAACGUUGCUCGGAAUCAUUGGGCGUAAAGCGCACGUAGGCGGCCGAUUAAGUCGGGUGUGGAAGCCCUGGGCUCGACCCAGGAAGUGCACACGAAACUGACCGGCUUGAAUAUGGAAGAGGGUUGCGGAAUUCCCGGUGUAGAGGUGAAAUUCGUAGAUAUCGGGAGGAACACCAGUGGCGAAGGCGGCAACCUGGGCCAAUAUUGACGCUGAGGUGCGAAAGCGUGGGGAGCAAACAGG
rnacentral:rRNA from 1 species